rnacentral:rRNA from 1 species
UACGGAGGGUGCAAGCGUUAAUCGGAAUUACUGGGCGUAAAGCGUGCGCAGGCGGUUUGUUAAGUCCGUUGUGAAAGCCCCGAGCUCAACUUGGGAAUUGCAGUGGAUACUGGCAGGCUGGAGUACGGUAGAGGGAGGUGGAAUUCCCGGUGUAGCAGUGAAAUGCGUAGAUAUCGGGAGGAACACCAGUGGCGAAGGCGGCCUUCUGGACCAGUACUGACGCUCAUGCACGAAAGCGUGGGGAGCAAACAGG